GUGGGGAAUUUUGGACAAUGGGCGAAAGCCUGAUCCAGCCAUGCCGCGUGCAGGAUGAAGGCCUUCGGGUUGUAAACUGCUUUUGUACGGAACGAAAAGACUCCUUCUAAUAAAGGGGGUCCAUGACGGUACCGUAAGAAUAAGCACCGGCUAACUACGUACCAGCAGCCGCGGUAAUACGUAGGGUGCAAGCGUUAAUCGGAAUUACUGGGCGUAAAGCGUGCGCAGGCGGUUAUAUAAGACAGAUGUGAAAUCCCCGGGCUCAACCUGGGAACUGCAUUUGUGACUGUAUAGCUAGAGUACGGUAGAGGGGGAUGGAAUUCCGCGUGUAGCAGUGAAAUGCGUAGAUAUGCGGAGGAACACCGAUGGCGAAGGCAAUCCCCUGGACCUGUACUGACGCUCAUGCACGAAAGCGUGGGGAGCAAACAGGAUUAGAAACCCUUGUAGUCC
rnacentral:rRNA from 1 species